CUUAUCUGAUCUCUUCAAGUUACUCACCAGGUGUGGGGGAAGAGUAGGGACUGAAGCCUUGGUCUCAUGAACAUCAUCAAGAGUGGGUUAUCCAGUCAGAUUUUCUCUUGCCCUCCAGAAAUACAGAGCGGAGGGAGAGAAACCAGGGUGCACGUCAGCGGUGAGCCAAACAUGAAGAAAUGUUCCUCUGGAGCAACAUUUGUUCGAGCAAAAGGCCCAGGUGAUCAGAGUGCUCGAGUUCCCCCCAGCUGUCGUUUCAAGAUCUUUCUGUUCCACCUGGAACCACGUAGUUCCAGCUGUCCCCUCACCUGUGUGUCUGCUGGGUUUUUACACCGCCAUGGCAAGGAGGCAAAGCCCAGCAGCUGUCAGACUCCAUCCCGUAUGACUCCCUGCACAAGGCUCUGCUGGCUGCAUCCCCCAGGACAAAGGUUCGUUCCUUUUCAUCCCUUUCUGCGCCGAGUGUAAUAAACAGAACAGGAAGCUGAAGGCAGUUUGGCUGGGGAAACAAGGCUCAAUAAUUAAAAACAAAAUCAGCAACAACAAAAAUAUGCAGAAAAACAACCAAAAAGAGCAGGUCAGCAGAGAGAAAGAAAGACACCUUUGACAGAGGAAAAGGAAAAGAAGGAAAAGCAACGUCCAGGCUGUUCUCAACCAGCGUGAACGGAGGUUGUGCAUAACAAAUACAGAGAUCUUGCCAUGUCCUACACAGGCUCCUCGUUUUGUUGGCCAUCCCUCCUGUGCCAAGAAGACUAAAUGCAGGGCCGGUUCCUCACCUGCUGUGACCUCUCAGAGCUUCCUUGGUGGCAAAGCUUUUCAGAGAACCUGAGGACGUGUCCUUGCCAUCACCGAGCAGACCUGUUCCAGUUCUUGAGGAGCUUGUGCCUUCCCCAGCUGCUGUUGUCCUAGAGGACUUGUUCCAGCCACACUCGUGCUAAGCAGGACCUCGUUCAGUACCCAGCCCCUCGGUAAUCAAUGUGUCUGCAGGGGAGGAAAUACGGUGUGCCAGUGAUACCUUGGAGCAUUUUGAACAUGAACGUGUUGUGCCAGUGACUUAUGAAGCUAGGUAGCUGUGAGCCAUGGAUGGAGGCCUUUCAGAACACAACCCACUGCACGUGUCCACUGUAUUUCAACACAGAUGUAAAUCCAUCUCCCAUAUCUGUGAACAUCUGAAUUCCAAAAAACAGAUGUAUUCAUUAACCGUCCAGAACAUGAAAAAAUAAAACAACCCUCUGAUGGUGAUGAACUUGUUCUGCAAUAGGGACUGCUGUAAGGACAAAGCCAUUGACCCAGAGCACAUCACUAAACAGAUUAAUUACUGCUGCCUGCUGGACACGGAAGAGUUGUCACUGCUGCUCCAUCCAGCUAUCUAUGAGGGAUCUCCAGGAAGCCUGUCACAGGGGCUUUGGCAUUAGUGAAAAUUAAGUGCUCUGUUGAAGGCACUAGUUUCUUGAGACUGAAGGGGAAGGAAGGAUUCAAUGUCAUUUCUCUUCCUGAAGCACAGUAUGGAGCUCACCUGAAGAACUGUGAGUAUUACUUACCCCCCACGGAGCAAAGGUAUGCCAUUUCCAAAAUUAGUGCUUCCCUUCACACAGAAUUAGUCUUCUGGGAAUUAUUUUCCUUCCUUCCUCACUGGCACGCACAGCGAAUAUUUUAACCUUGAAACAUCUUUUUGUCUUUCCUAUGCCUCAGUGAAAAUUAGCCUUGGAGUCCUAGCCCUCAGCUGUGAGGCUGAGGAGACAGUGGUGAUAGCGUCUUGCUUUCAGAGAGUAAUUACACCAAGGCUGACUAAUGCACAGCCCCAGCUGCACAGGAACAUCCAGAGUGGUCAGUCUCCUUAAGAAGCCUCCCUGAAAGUGAAUCCUUCAGCUAUUUUCAGUGCUGGCAAAGAGACUCCUUGCCUGCUGGGUAUGGGGGGCCACCACCAGGGCUGGCCUCAGUGAGGAAGCUGUGUCCUUCUAGAGGUGCUGCUCCUGACUAACGCAGGUGUAACAUAACACAGGUCAAAACCCAUCCUUGCUGCCUGGUCCAGGCAGAACCCUUUUGCUGUUGGGAAGAACUCAGCCAUCAAACUGUAGCAGUACUGUAGUCUCUGGAAGCUAGAUCCCCCAAAAGGAGACAUGACAACAGCUGCUGCUUUACCUUCUU